UAUUAUUUCAUCAUUCUUAUGUGUAUUUUCAUUUCACUCUUCUGUCUAAUCAAAUGGAUAGCAUCGAAUUGAAUUUUGUGAUUGUGAAAAUAUCAAAUUCACCAUAUACAUAACAUCAUAGCUUUCAAUUCAGUUCUGUCACACAGAAAACAUCAAAUGAUAGAUUUCCAAAAUUGUGUUUGUAUCUCAUUCAUUCAUUCAUAUACAAAAUUUUCACCCAUUUUCCCAUUCAAAGGGAAAACGAAAAUAUUUACAACAUGUCUGCCUAUAUUCUACAAAAUCUCAAUACUAAUCUAUGUUAGUCUCUUUCAGUUACAGAUUUAUAGACCAUUCAAGCAACAAGUAACAUUCAAGAAAACGUCUUCCGUGCAUGGAAUUGUGAGACCGCCCAUUCGAUGAUCAUAUCCAAAUUCUUCCUCUGCUUCACUCAACAAGUUUUGAUAUGAAGGUUUGUUCAAGUAUGACGUGGGAAUCACAAACCGCUUAUUCUCCUCUCCUACGUACACCGCAAGAUAGCCCUUUGCCACUUUUGAUGAUGUUUGCCCAUUGCUACUUAAUGAACCACGUCUUAUAGCUGCAGGAAAAUACAUUAUAGUAUACACUUGUUUGAAUAGUGGAGACUGCUAGGAGCUUAAAGUAAAGGGUUGCCGCGGCGCUAAUUGAGUGCACUGGAAAGAAAGUCCUCGCGAUUGUCGUCUCUACUCUACCACCUUCGUUAAACAUCAAAGGAAAAAUGCUUCAUUCAAAGUUGUUGGUGGUUCAUGUCUUCAUGAUAAUCUUUUGAUUCGGAAAAUACAUAAUAAUACACUUUUUUGAAUGGUGGAUGAUACUAGGAGCUUAAAGUAAAGGAUUGCUGCUAAUUGAGUGCACAGGAAAGCCCUUGCGAUUAUCGUCUUUACCACCUUCGUUAAACAUCAAAGGAAAAUGCAACAUACAACAAAGUUAUUGGAAUGUUACUUUUUUCUUUUUCAUUUCACUUCUACUGACCUAUCUUCACAGUUCUAUCACGUGCUAAACAAGUGGAUCUCAUUGCAUUUGGAAUAUUUGAAGAAGAUUUCUUAUUUAUUGUAGCAAAAAUAUUGCUCUGACUAGAUGAAGAAAGCUCAAGACAUGUAAACACGUUGCGAGCUUAGAAACAAGAUAGCUUAUCACCUAUUAGAGUUUGGGGUGAAUGUUUUAAUAGGUUAGAUUUUGCUUACAGCGUGUAGUACCCUUAUGUGAUCGAUAUAAUAAACCAAGGAAAACUGGAUAUUGGUUCAUAUUUUAUUUUAACGACCAGUUUUGAAAUUUAUAGCUUAUAAACAGAAGCAAAUAGGAGCCCAUUGAGUUGUUGAAUAUAUUGUCUCAUUAUGAUUAGAAAUAAUUAAUAACAAAUAAUCUCUUCCUGAAUUUGUCAUUCAGACGGACAAUUCUAACCCGUUCCAAGGGUAGGAAAGGGAAAAAAGUCUAUACUUAAACCAAAUGAUGGCUAUUGUACAAAAAAAAAUUCUAUGCUAAUCUAUGUCAGUCUCCUUUAGUGUAAGAUUUAUAGGCUAUUGAACUGAGAAGUAAUAUCCAAGAAAACAUCUUCUCUACAAGGAAUUGUGAGGCCACCCAUUGGAUGAUCAUAUCCGAAUUCUUCCUCUACUUGACUCAACAAGUUUUGAAAUAAAGGUUGGUUCAAGUAUGAAAUGGGGAUGACAAACCGCUUCAUUUCCUCUCCGACGUACACUGCAAUAUGGCCCUUGGGCCCAUUUGAUACUUUUGAUGAUGUUUUGAUACUGCGAUGUGAAGACCGUCUAAUAGCAACAGGUAAAAGGAAACCCAUUUCAAAUGUUUUGAAGAGAAAAAGCUGAAUAUCUUGAUGUUAGGAUAAUGUAUCUAUGUUUAUUUGCUUGAGUAGUUUGUGAUGGUUGUGAAGGAGGGCACUAUAUUUAUAGUUUCCAAAAUUUUCUUGAAAUCCUAUUGCUAGAGAAAUGAUUUUUGAAUGAUGAUGGGGGGCAUGAGAUGAGAGAUCACAUGGUGUUGUCUUAGAUGCCUCUGUCAAGGAUCAAUAAGUUCAAUAAGAGUGCAAACCCCACCUGAAUGAAAGGCUAAUUUUGAACUAGCUGCUUGUACUAUGCCCACUCAUUUUUUUUCUUUAGACAUGCAUCAGACAUGGCACAUGUUCUCUUCAUAUUGGCAAUAAAGCUUAAUGUUGAUAUAUGGCCCGAAGAAUUAGGAGGAAACUAUGAGUCAUACACUAACAGUAACACACUAUAUAUGAGUUGUGCAUAUUGUUUUGUUCACAAGAGAUCACAUGAAACUGUCUAGAGGUCUUUCUUAAGACUUGGCAGAGAGUUAAAGUUAUGUCCCACAUUACAAAACUGUUUCAACUUUGAAAAUGAAAGUGCUAUACACAGGUAAGAAAACAUACUAAUUUUUAAACCAUUUACUUUAACAAUUAAUUCUGAUGUUCACAUAUCCUGGCAUUUUCUGAAUGGAUGUUCUAAUUUUUAAACUCAGUUAAUUUAGCAGACAUAGACAACAGUGUCUAUGGUCAUUUGUAAGGGACUUGCAAAAGAGGAUAGAAAAAGUUUUAUUUUAAUCACAGAUUUAAGAUUGGUUUCUGCUGUUUCUUGAUAAGGAGAUACAAAUGGGCCGUACUGACUAAACUAGUUUGAGAUUAGGUGUCAACCACUCAUCUCUAUGAUUAGAUCUACAUUUGCUACUUUUUAUUAUUUUCCGUGCAGAAGGUAUUAUCACAGAAGUAACACAUCCCUCAACACAGUCGAGAUUUUUGGUAACAACAACUACUUUGCCAUGUACAUAGUCAGAGAAAUUUGCAAGGAAUCACCAGCUUUGUAAUUUAUAAUUUAUAAAUAGAAGCAUAUAUAUAGAACAUUGAGUUGUUAAAUAUAUUGUGUCAUUAUGACUAGAAAAUUAAUAACAAAUAAUCUCUUCCUGAAUGUCAUUCAGAUGGACAGUUCUAACCUAUUCCAAAGGAUCUAUUGCUUGUUGAAGCGAGAAGCAAUAUGCAAGAAAACAUCUUCUGUGCAAGGAAUUGUGAGGCCACCCAUUGGAUGAUCAUAUCCGAACUCUUCCUUUGCUUGACUCAACAAGUUUUGGAAUGAAGGUUGGUUCAAGUAUGAUGUGGGAAUCACAAACCUCUUCAUUUCCUCACCAACGUACACCGCAAGAUAGCCCUUUGGCACUUUUGAUGAUGUUUGGUUGCUACUUAAUGAACCACGUCUUAUAGCUGCAGGUAAACGGAAACCCAUUUCAAAUGUUUUGAAGAACAAAUCUCAAAAUUUAAGGGGAAAAAAAGGUAUCUAUCUUUUGAUGCUUGAGUAAGUGAGUGAUUUGUGAAGGAAAAUUGUGUAUUUUUAUAGUCUUCAUUCAAGAGUUUCUUCAUAUCCAUGAUUGUUAAAGAAUGGGGUCCAUGAGAUGAGAGAUCCACAUGGUAUUGUCUUUGAAUGGCUCUCCAUCAAGUUCAAUUAGAAUGCAUAUAUACCCCAUCUUCUCAACGAAAGGCUAGCAGAUUAACCACAUGGAAGUCAAAUAUCUUCUCAUAUUUUUGUAGACAUGUCACAUGUUCUCUUCAUAUCCAGAACGCGGUUCAAUACCGAAAUAUAGCCAGCCACCAAUAAUUUUCUUUGCGUGUAUCAUAAUGGUUUGUUGGCUCCAAAUCAUUAAUAUUAGGAGGCUACAAGGAACACAUAUAGAGGGCUUGGUCGGUCAUUAGUCAUGCUGACCAAAAGAAAAGAUAGAUAACAAUUGAACACCUCUUCAAAUGAGAUAAGUAUAUGUUUGGACCCACAAACAACUACCAGUAACAAAAAUAUUGCUAUUCUGAAUAUUGAAUUGAAUUUCAAGUCAACAGUCCUAUAUAUUUGCAGUCUAUUGAAUAUAUCUAGCAGCAAAUGCUCUGCCGUGGACUCUAGCUCAUAACUUUAACGUGCGUAUAAAGAGCUGCUCAAUGAUUUGUUUUCUGCAUGACUGCAUCUAAGAAUAAUUAGCUAGUAGAACCUUAAUUCAAUAAACUCUCUUGUUAAGAAUAAUUCGCUAGUAGGAUAAGGUCCAAUGUUUCUACUAACUCAAGAAUCAGAGGCAGAGCCAUGAAUAAGUGCUUAACUAUCAUAGAUUUGUUGACUUUGUAUCAACUCAGAUGAGUUACUAGCUUAUAGGAAAUUUCAAAUUUCCAAUAGAGAAGAGAUUAUUUAAUACUUGAAAUUCGUGUUUUAUUGCUAAAUCUAUUUGUAGAUUAUGCCUGGACCACCAAGGGAACUGUUAGUGGGAGACUUUUCAUAAUUGGGUCAAGAAGUGGUAAAUUUGAACUCUAUUGUUUGAUGGGAUAGACUUCUGUUUUUAAAUCUAACUAAUUGUGCGUCUAUGAUACUAAUACAUGGUCUGUGUCUGUGCAGACUCUGUUUAGUCAUGCGGUUAGCCCCUGAAAAAAGUGAGCUGAAAUUUUUAUUGUCUAAGUAGUCUCUUUACUAAUAAUAUCUUUUUAACUUAAGAGAAUAAACCAAAUGCAAGCAGUUCAUGAUAAUCUUUUGAUUAGGAAGAUACAUUAUAGUAUACACUUUUAUGAAUAGUGGAGGUUGCUAGGAGCUUACAGUAAAGGGUUGCCGCUAAUUGUGUGCAUAGUAAAGAAAGUCCUUGCGUUUGUCGUCUCUACUCUACCACCUUUGUUAAACAUCAAAGGAAAAAUGCUUCAUACACAGUUAUUGGUAAGUUUUUUUUUUUUCAUUUUCAUUUCACUUCUACAGACCCGCUUCCAAUGUUCUAUAUCACGUGCUAUUGUGCUAAACAAAUUGAUGAUUAGAUCUCAUGGCAGUUGGAAUAGUUGGAGGAGCUUUCUUAUUUUUCAAAGCAUAAAUAUUGCUCUGCCUAGAUGAAGAAAGCUCUAGACAUGUAAACACGUUGUGAGCUUAGAUAUAAGAUAGAUUAUCGGUUAUUAGAGUUUGGGUGAAUGUCUUAUUAGGUUAGAGAAAUUUGCAUAAAUUUUCAAGCUAGAUUUUGCUUACAGCGUGUAGUACCCUUAUGUUAUCAUUAUAAUAAACCAAGGAAAACUGGAUAUUGUUUCAUAUUUUUAUUUUAUCAAGGACUAGUUUUGUAACUUAGAAAUAGAAGAAUAUAUGAGCCCAUUGAGUUGUGGAAUAUAUUGUGUCAUUAUGAUUAGGAAUAAGUAAUAACAAAUAAUCUCUUCCUGAAUUUAUCAUUCAGACGGACAGCUCUAACCCGUUCCAAGGAUAGGAAGUAGAAAAUAAUUCUAUACAAAUCUAAAUGAUGACUAUUGUACAAAAUUUCUAUGCUAAUCUGUGUCCGUCUCCUUCAGUGUAAGAUUUAGAAGCUAUUGAACUGAGAAGUAAUAUGCAAGAAAACAUCUUCAGUGCAAGGAAUUGUGAGGGCACCCAUCAGAUGAUUAUAUCCAAAUUCUUCCUCUGCUUGACUUAACAAGUUUUGAAAUGAGGAUUGGUUCAAGUAUGACAUGGGGAUGACAAACCGCUUCUUCUCCUCUCCGACGUACACCGCAAGAUAUCCCUUUGCCACAUUUGAUACUUUUGAUGAUGUUUGGAUAUUGCUAGGUGCUGACCGUCUAAUAGCUGCAGGAUCUAUUGCCCGUUGAAGCGAGAUGUAAUAUGCAAGAAUACAUCUUCCGUGAAUUGUGAGGCCACCCAUCGGACGAUCAUAUCCGAACUCUUCCUCUACUUGACUCAACAAGUUUUGAAAUGAAGAUUGGUUCAAGUAUGACAUAGGGAUAACAAACCGCUUCAUUUUCUCUCCAACGUACACCGCAAGAUAGCCCUUUGGCACAUUCAAUGCUUUUGAGGAUGUUUGGCUACUGCUAAAUGAAGCCCGUCUAAUAGCUGCUGGUAAACGGAAACCCAUUUCAAAUGUUUUGAAGAAAAAAUUGAAUUUGUGACAAAUAUAAGAAAAAUGUUUGUAAGUAUGAUUGCUUGAGUGAUUUGUGAUUGUUGUGAAGGAGGACACUAUUUAUAGUUUCCAAAAGUUUCUUGAUACUCCUUUGGUAGAGAAAAAUGAUUGUUAAAAUGAUGGGGCCAUGAGAUAAUAAAUCACAUGCUAUUGUCAAGGAUCAUUAGGAGUCCAAACCCCACUUUGUGAAUGAAAGGCUCAUGUUAAACUCAAUACUUAUACAAUUCCUACUAUUUUUUUCAGACACGGCACAUGAUUUUCUCUUCACAUUGAUCACUCAAUGUUGAUAUUGAAAUAUCAGUCAUAAAUUAAAACACUAUUUAUGAAUUGUGCAUAUUAUUGUUCUUGACUUGGUUCUUAAAUGGUUCACAAAGAGAUCACAUGAUAGUGUCUAGAGAUAUUUGAGUGAGAAAUUAAAUGUACGUCCCACAUUAUUAUGAUCAUGUUUCGGCCAGACUUGAAACAUCUCUAAUUUUCUUCAACAAUUUUGAUAUGUUUUAUAUCCUGGCAUUUUCUAAUUUUGAAACUAUAUUAGUUUAUUCUAUGAAUUAAUUUAGCAGACAUAGAUAACAAUUAUUUAUGCAAUUGAUAUAUUGAUGAUUCAGUUAUGUGAUAGAUAACAAUUAUUUGCAGAUAUUAAUAAUACAUUCACAAUUGACCAAAUAAUAAGUAUCUCUCUUUUCAACACUCUAUCAAACAUUCAUAAUUAUUUGAUAUACUGAUGACUUCUAAUCCGAUUUUUUUCUCUAUUUUUUUAUUUUUAACUUUUUUACAUAAAUUCUAGAAUUUUUGAUUUUCGCAGUGCAAUCUUCAAAAUAUAUUUUCUUUCUCUUCGUCAACAAAGGUUUUAAGGCACACUUUAAUAAUCUCACCUUGA